GAAAGAUGGCGGAGUGGUCUAACGCGGCGGUCUUGAAAACCGUUGACCUGAGAGGGUCCGGGGGUUCGAAUCCCUCUCUUUCC
rnacentral:tRNA from 1 species